rnacentral:piRNA from 1 species
GAGAAAGUACCCAAGGAGCUGAGGGGAU